ACCUGGCUAGCUCAGUUGGUAGAGCUUUAGACUCUUGAUCUCGAAGUUGUGGGUUCGAGCCCCACAUUGGGUG
rfam:Ailuropoda melanoleuca scaffold315_8, whole genome shotgun sequence.